CCCCCACUUGAGAGCACUUGCUCACAGCUCCGUAAGCGGGUUUAUUACCCACGGAGCCUGUGUGCUAAUUGCAUUACUAAGCAAAGUCCUCAUUAGACAGGAGGCCAAAAGGGAGCACCAAGUUAGUGUCAAGCAUGUGUUUGUGGGGAGAAUUUACAUUGACGCUUGUGUUUAAUGCUCCAGCUGCGGCAUAUUGCAGACCCCAGGUGGUGCUGGCAGGAUUUCAGGUUGGGAGGGAGCUCUUCUGGAGCCAUGGAGACCCAUGUGGGAUGGAUUAACAUUUGAUGGAGCUGUUGCAAUACCACCCAGCUCACUGGAGUGAAGGCUAAGCAUGCUGCAGAGCCUGUGGCACGUUAGUCCUGUCUCAAUUUGUCCUGCAAAGCUUGGUGGUUUCUUGUUGGCUUGCAGAGCAAGCUGUCCUCAUCCUGCUUGUAAACAUUGGCAUUCCACUCCCUCAUCAAUGGCUUGGCAUGAACAGCAUGAGCUUCCACCUUUAUCUACUGCCAUGCUUUUUGGGGAGGGAGGCUGCGGGCUGGUGAGGGGACAGGGAUGGGACCACAGGCACAUGUGGAAGAGGAGGACUACAAAGAUGAUUAAAGGACUGGAGCUUCUCUCCUACAAGGAAAGGCUGAGGGAGCUGGGGCUGUUCAGCCUCCAGAGGAGACACUGAGAGGGGACCUCCCCCAGGUCUGUAGGGUCUGCAGGGAGGGGGCAGAGGAUGGACCAGGCUCUGCUUGGGGGGGCCCAGCAAUGGCACAAGAGGAAUGGGCAGGAACUGAUGCCCAAGAAGUUGCACCUGGAUAUGAGGAAGAACUUUUUUGCUGGGCAGUGACUGAGCACUGGAACAGGUUGCCCAGAGAGGGUGUAGAGUCUAUUUCACAGAAGAUAUUCCAGAACCCUCUGGACACUGUCCUGUGCCAUGUGCUCUGGGAUAGUCCCGCUUGUACAGAAAGGUUGGGACAGAUGACCUGCUGUGGUUCCUUCCAACCUGAACCAUUCUUUGUUUCUGAGGCUUGACUUGCAGAGAUUCUCAGGGCUCCUCAGGGGCACAGCCUCUGGCCCUCUCACCAGCAGCGAGCGUUUACCUUGGCUUGACCAUACACAUGGAAUUCUCAAACUUUAUAGCACAUCUUACCCUUUCUCUGCAUCUUUUUUUCACUAUUAUUUUUCCCCAUGCACUGAGCACUGGUUCAGAUAACAUUUUUAAAAUCUUGCAGUUUUGAGAUUUCCCAGCAUAUACUGGCAGAGUGCUGCUAUUUCCAAGUUCUCCCCUCAGGGCACACAGUCCCAGGCUGUGUCACUGCCAGACUUUGCUCGCUGAGCCAAAGACAAUGUCAUUGUGGAUGGAUGCAAAGGACUGCCUUCCUCAUUUGGCAGAUGAGAAACCCUGACCACUUUGAGUCACUUAAAGUAUUAAUGCCAUCUCCAAUAAAUGCUUUGCUUCUA